UUGACAGUGAUAGUGACAGCAGUGAAGA
rnacentral:sRNA from 1 species